AAUUUAUGUAUUGUAGUUACACGUGGCAACUCUCACAUUUUUUCUUGCUAUAUUUUAAGUUGGACCUCUAGAAAUACAUCGGUGAAUAUUUGCUUUCAAUUCCAU